rfam:Thermoanaerobacter pseudethanolicus ATCC 33223, complete genome.
GCGAAUAAGUAGAAGCGCCCGCUUCUCACCUUUCACCGAAGGUGCAAAGGUUUCUUCAAAAGUAUUUAUCUUUGUUUUAUUGUAAAGAAGCGGGUAUUUCUAUAUCCGCUUUUAUUUUUUCAU